rnacentral:rRNA from 1 species
GAUGAACGCUGGCGGCGUGCCUAAUACAUGCAAGUCGAGCGAACGGACGAGAAGAUUGCUUCUCUGAUGUUAGCGGCGGACGGGUGAGUAACACGUGGAUAACCUACCUAUAAGACUGGGAUAACUUCGGGAAACCGUAGCUAAUACCGGAUGAUAUUUUGAACCGCAUGGUUCAAAAGUGAAAGACGGUCUUGCUGUCACUUAUAGAUGGAUCCGCGCUGCAUUAGCUAGUUGGUAAGGUAACGGCUUACCAAGGCAACGAUGCAUAGCCGACCUGAGAGGGUGAUCGGCCACACUGGAACUGAGACACGGUCCAGACUCCUACGGGAGGCAGCAGUAGGGAAUCUUCCGCAAUGGGCGAAAGCCUGACGGAGCAACGCCGCGUGAGUGAUGAAGGUCUUCGGAUCGUAAAACUCUGUUAUUAGGGAAGAACAUAUGUGUAAGUAACUGUGCACAUCUUGACGGUACCUAAUCAGAAAGCCACGGCUAACUACGUG